AUUGAACGCUGGCGGCAUGCUUUACACAUGCAAGUCGAACGGCAGCGCGGGCUUCGGCCUGGCGGCGAGUGGCGAACGGGUGAGUAAUGCAUCGGAACGUGCCCAGUAGUGGGGGAUAGCCCGGCGAAAGCCGGAUUAAUACCGCAUACGACCUGAGGGUGAAAGAGGGGGACCGAAAGGCCUCGCGCUAUUGGAGCGGCCGAUGUCGGAUUAGCUAGUUGGUGGGGUAAAGGCUUACCAAGGCGACGAUCCGUAGCUGGUCUGAGAGGACGACCAGCCACACUGGAACUGAGACACGGCCCAGACUCCUACGGGAGGCAGCAGUGGGGAAUUUUGGACAAAGGGGGCAACCCUGAUCCAGCCAUGCCGCGUGCGGGAAGAAGGCCUUCGGGUUGUAAACCGCUUUUGUUCGGGAAGAAAUCCUCUGGGCUAAUACCCCGGGGGGAUGACGGUACCGGAAGAAUAAGCACCGGCUAACUACGUG
rnacentral:rRNA from 1 species